AUUGAACGCUGGCGGAAUGCUUUACACAUGCAAGUCGAACGGUAGAGGGGGCAACCCCUCGAGAGUGGCGAACGGGUGAGUAAUAUAUCGGAACGUGCCCAGUCGUGGGGGAUAACGUAGUGAAAAUUACGCUAAUACCGCAUACGAUCUAAGGAUGAAAGCGGGGGAUCGCAAGACCUCGCGCGACUAGAGCGGCCGAUGCCUGAUUAGCUUGUUGGUGGGGUAAAGGCCUACCAAGGCGACGAUCGGUAGCUGGUCUGAGAGGAUGAUCAGCCACACUGGGACUGAGACACGGCCCAGACUCCUACGGGAGGCAGCAGUGGGGAAUAUUGGACAAUGGGGGGAACCCUGAUCCAGCAAUGCCGCGUGUGUGAAGAAGGCCUGAGGGUUGUAAAGCACUUUUGUAGAGGAGGAUGGUGAGCUAGGUUAAGAGCUAGGUUCAUUGACGUUACUCUAAGAAUAAGCACCGGCUAACUCCGUGCCAGCCGCCGCGGUAA
rnacentral:rRNA from 1 species